ACAUUGAAACACCGAUUCUAGUAUGAUCACCGAAGUUAAGCAACAAUGUGCCUGUUCAGAACCUAGAUGAGUGACCGCUUGGGAAUGUGAGGUGCUGUAAG